rnacentral:rRNA from 1 species
CAGUAGCCGCGGUAAUACGAAGGGUGCAAGCGUUACUCGGAAUUACUGGGCGUAAAGCGUGCGUAGGUGGUGAUUUAAGUCCGUUGUGAAAGCCCUGGGCUCAACCUGGGAAUUGCAGUGGAUACUGGGUCACUAGAGUGUGGUAGAGGAUAGUGGAAUUUCCGGUGUAGCAGUGAAAUGCGUAGAGAUCGGAAGGAACAUCUGUGGCGAAGGCGACUAUCUGGGCCAACACUGACACUGAGGCACGAAAGCGUGGGGAGCAAACAGGAUUAGAUACCCCAGUAGUCCCUGUCUCUUAUAC